AACAGCUGAGGUUUGCUUCGCAGCUGCUUUACCAAGCCCUCUUGCAGCAUAGUUUCCACUGGUAGUAAUUCCAUUCAGCCACUCAGACAACGCGCUCCUCAGCUGAAUGGGACGACCCUUCUUAAGAUGGAAAAUGUUACAGAAGAAAAAGGACCGAGUCUAGAGCAGUAAACAGCAAUUAGCCUGCAGGGAAGUUUCAAGGCUUUGGGAGACCUGGAGACCAAAGUCUUGAACAGGAUAACACUUAGCAACAACUAGUUCUGAUGACGAUGGGACAUAGCAGUUAUAAACCGACAGCUUGCUCCCUACCUAACAAGAACUAAGCACCAUUCUCAGUAAUCACAAGAUGGCUCCUGCGCC